rnacentral:rRNA from 1 species
GAACUGAAGAGUUUGAUCAUGGCUCAGAUUGAACGCUGGCGGCAGGCCUAACACAUGCAAGUCGAGCGGUAGAGAGGUGCUUGCACCUCUUGAGAGCGGCGGACGGGUGAGUAAUGCCUAGGAAUCUGCCUGGUAGUGGGGGAUAACGCUCGGAAACGGACGCUAAUACCGCAUACGUCCUACGGGAGAAAGCAGGGGACCUUCGGGCCUUGCGCUAUCAGAUGAGCCUAGGUCGGAUUAGCUAGUUGGUGAGGUAAUGGCUCACCAAGGCGACGAUCCGUAACUGGUCUGAGAGGAUGAUCAGUCACACUGGAACUGAGACACGGUCCAGACUCCUACGGGAGGCAGCAGUGGGGAAUAUUGGACAAUGGGCGAAAGCCUGAUCCAGCCAUGCCGCGUGUGUGAAGAAGGUCUUCGGAUUGUAAAGCACUUUAAGUUGGGAGGAAGGGCAUUAACCUAAUACGUUAGUGUUUUGACGUUACCGACAGAAUAAGCACCGGCUAACUCUGUGCCAGCAGCCGCGGUAAUACAGAGGGUGCAAGCGUUAAUCGGAAUUACUGGGCGUAAAGCGCGCGUAGGUGGUUCGUUAAGUUGGAUGUGAAAGCCCGGGCUCAACCUGGGAACUGCAUUCAAAACUGUCGAGCUAGAGUAUGGUAGAGGGUGGUGGAAUUUCCUGUGUAGCGGUGAAAUGCGUAGAUAUAGGAAGGAACACCAGUGGCGAAGGCGACCACCUGGACUGAUACUGACACUGAGGUGCGAAAGCGUGGGAGCAAACAGGAUUAGAUACCCUGGUAGUCCACGCCGUAAACGAUGUCAACUAGCCGUUGGGAGCCUUGAGCUCUUAGUGGCGCAGCUAACGCAUUAAGUUGACCGCCUGGGAGUACGGCCGCAAGGUUAAAACUCAAAUGAAUUGACGGGGCCCGCACAAGCGGUGGAGCAUGUGGUUUAAUUCGAAGCAACGCGAAGAACCUUACCAGGCCUUGACAUCCAAUGAACUUUCCAGAGAUGGAUUGGUGCCUUCGGGAGCAUUGAGACAGGUGCUGCAUGGCUGUCGUCAGCUCGUGUCGUGAGAUGUUGGGUUAAGUCCGUAACGAGCGCAACCCUUGUCCUUAGUUACCAGCACGUUAUGGUGGGCACUCUAAGGACUGCCGGUGACAAACCGGAGGAAGGUGGGGAUGACGUCAAGUCAUCAUGGCCCUUACGGCCUGGGCUACACACGUGCUACAAUGGUCGGUACAGAGGUUGCCAAGCCGCGAGGUGGAGCUAAUCCCACAAAACCGAUCGUAGUCCGGAUCGCAGUCUGCAACUCGACUGCGUGAAGUCGGAAUCGCUAGUAAUCGCGAAUCAGAAUGUCGCGGUGAAUACGUUCCCGGGCCUUGUACACACCGCCCGUCACACCAUGGGAGUGGGUUGCACCAGAAGUAGCUAGUCUAACCUUCGGGGGACGGUUACCACGGUGUGAUUCAUGACUGGGGUGAAGUCGUAACAAGGUAGCCGUAGGGGAACCUGCGGCUGGAUCACCUCCUA